AUGGGGGGAAUUGAUAAGACUACUCUUGCCCAACUUGUGCACAAUGAUGAGAGGGUGAAGCAUCACUUUGAGUUGGCCAUAUGGGUCUGUGUCUCUGAUAUGUUCGUCAUCAAACAAAUCAUCCGUUCUAUAAUACAAGUGGUCACAAUGAACAAGUGUGAAUUGACUGAGAUGGAAGCAUUGCAGAAGAAACUUGGUGACGUGUUAGGCAAGAAAAGGUACCUCUUAGUACUGGAUGAUGUUUGGAAUGAAGAUACACAGAAGUGGAAUGAUAUGACAUCUUUGUUAUGCUUACAUGCUGGCUCAGGUACUGUUAUGGUUGUUACAAGCCGUGGUGAUCAAGUUGCUUCUAUCAUGGGCACAGUUCCUCCACAUCAAAUAUCACUUAUGGAUGAAGAUCAAUCACAUGAGCUUUUUCAUUUAAACACAUUU
rnacentral:rRNA from 1 species